CAGUCGCCGCGGUAAAACGGAGGGUGCAAGCGUUAUCCGGAUUUAUUGGGUUUAAAGGGUCCGUAGGCGGAUCUGUAAGUCAGUGGUGAAAUCUCACAGCUUAACUGUGAAACUGCCAUUGAUACUGCAGGUCUUGAGUAAAUUUGAAGUGGCUGGAAUAAGUAGUGUAGCGGUGAAAUGCAUAGAUAUUACUUAGAACACCAAUUGCGAAGGCAGGUCACUAAGAUUUAACUGACGCUGAUGGACGAAAGCGUGGGGAGCGAACAGGAUUAGAUACCCCAGUAGUCCCUGUCUCUUAUAC
rnacentral:rRNA from 1 species